rnacentral:RNase_P_RNA from 1 species
GUAUGUGGACAGACGGUCGCGGGUUUCUUUUGAAACGCGAGGAAAGUCCGGACACGGUAGGACACGGUGGUGGAUAACGUCCACCGACCUUUGAUCGCAGGUUAGGGCUUAGUGCCACAGAGAGUAGACCGCCGAUGGAACAUUUCGAUGUUCACAGGUAAGGGUGAAACGGUGCGGUAAGAGCGCACCGCGUGUUUGGUGACAAACAUGGCAAGGUAAACCCCACCGCGUGCAAACGCAAGCAGUUCUCGAUUCACUUUUGUGAAUGUCCUUGUCCGAGGAAUGAGAACGGGUCGCGUGCAAAAGUGUGUUGGCAACAAGACACGUAGAUGAAUGGCCGUCCUAGACAGAAUCCGGCUUAUCGUUCACAAGCGAUC